rnacentral:rRNA from 1 species
UACGAGGGGGGCUAGCGUUGUUCGGAUUUACUGGGCGUAAAGCGCGUGUAGGCGGCUCGUUAAGUCGGGGGUGAAAUCCUGGAGCUCAACUCCAGAACUGCCUUCGAUACUGGCGAUCUUGAGUCCGGAAGAGGUGAGUGGAACUCCUAGUGUAGAGGUGGAAUUCGUAGAUAUUAGGAAGAACACCAGUGGCGAAGGCGGCUCACUGGUCCGGUACUGACGCUGAGGUGCGAAAGCGUGGGGAGCAAACAGG